AUGAUUGUAAAGCUCUUUUCUGAAGCCCUUAAGAAACCUCAGAGCUUUCUUUGGAUCACAAAUGAGCUGAAGAAGAGCUUGUCUCCAUUCUUUGGUUUGCCUAUUUUUGAGGAGAAGAAUGUAAAGAAAAGACUUUUAACUGAGAAGAGAUAUAGUUCUCUCUAUUGGCUAGCUCCCAGUUUUGUUCACAUGGCUUCUGGUGCCUUUCCGAUCUGGUAAGGCUGUCCUUCGUUGCAUAUAUAUUAUACUGAUAUUUUGAGUUUUGUGGAGUCACAUAGUACUGCCUCUAUACUUUUUCUUUUAACUUCAAAAGCACAAGAAUAAUUUUCCUACAAUAUAUAGUUUAUAAAGAAAUCUUAAUGUAUUCUAUUUUUAGAAAUACUAAAAUCCUUGAGGAUUUAUCAAAGGAUAAAUCCUUUAGGAUCUAAAUCCUUGAGGAUUUCUAAAUCUGUGAGAAUGAAUCAAAAAUGCUAUCUUAAAAAAUAAUGUAUGUACAAAAUAAAAAUCACAGAAUUUAAAACUGCUUUCAGAGUAUGUCAUGUAUUGUCUAUCACUACUACCAUUAAAGAGACUGUGGUGGGAGCAGAGAUCCCAAGGGAACUAACACUUAUUAGGUACCCUGCAAUAGGUGCUUCUGCAGCCAUAGAAGCCAUUUAAUCCAUGAGUACUUGGUUUAAGUCCAAUUAGUUUCAUUUUCACAGAUAACAGAAAAAGGCUCAUUUGUGAAGUAAAG
rnacentral:lncRNA from 1 species